rnacentral:tRNA from 1 species
AUGACUAUGGUGAAAAUGGUAUACACGGUUAGUUUAGAUCUAAUUAAAUAAGGGUUCAAUUCCCUUUAGUCAUAU